rnacentral:lncRNA from 1 species
ACAAACCCUAGAGCAGCACCCUGAGGAUCAUGUAAGGCCUAAAUAAUUUAACACUUCAAAAUUUUAAAUAACCAAGUAAAUACCAAAUCAAUCAACCGAGUCACAACUUCAAAUCAAAUGUAAAUUUUGUUCAAUACAAUUAUUCAAAUGUUCAUUGAUAUCAAAGAAUUUAAACUAACUGAACUACUAAAGGCUUCAGUUCUUAUUUGCUCUCGUCCAAACCAUCCAAACUAAGCAUCCUGUGAGUCUGAAAAAAAAAUAAGAAAAAAAUAUGAGCUUCUCCAGCUCAGUAAGAAUCACUGCACAUGUACAUCA